AUUUGCAUUCAGUUCUGAAAUUUCAUCUAGUUCCGCAUCUAAGGGUUGACACUAUUACAUUAUUGUCAAUUGGUACUUCUACAGCAGUUUCUACGUUCAAGCAUCCUAAGUGAAAAUGCUCUUGUUUCAGAAAACAAAGUCAUGAACAUUUUGUUGGAUCCUAUAUCUAUUACUUUAUUUGGCAUGAUUCACAUUGUCAUAUCUAUAAAGGUGGAAUUGUCAACACAUAAUCCAUGUCCAUAAUCAGAGUUAGACCUGAAAUGACUACUUCAAAGAUCGAAGUUUCCUUACAGAAAAGACGAGACAUGUCAAAAUCACAGCGAAUUAUUCCCAUCAAAGACUAGGCAAUAACCUCAACUAAAAGUAGAAUGAAAACCCUCAUUAAAAAAGAAGUUAAAAUGAAGAUAAUUGGUGAAAUACAUUAUAUAUCAAUAAAGUCAGCAAUUCAUAUCCAAAUUCUUUAACUGUGCACAGUCACGUUAGCAUGUAUGAUUUUGGUCAAAUCCUAAUACAGCAAGUAUAAUCUUCCACAGACAGGAUGCUUCAGGAACACCAGAACCAGGUCAACAGUGUCAAGUGAGGUUUAGGUUUCAACAGUUCCAUCAUUAUUGAAACAACAUAGUUGGCUUGUAAACUACAAUUUAGAAGUAAUCAUCAUGGCAGCAAAUUCUUUACAAAUAAAUUUUCUUCUAAAAUUAUUUAUUCUUCUUCUCUCCCAAAAUUUGCAUGCAUGAUACAGAGUAGGUAACCUCUCUUAGUCCCUAAAUUUGUCAAUGUCGCAUGCCAGAACUAGUUCAAAACCAGAUUGAAGCAGUUUACGCAUUCCUAAUACAACCUCUGAAGGUCCAAGAAUAAAGCGUUUGAAAAUGAAAUAAGUAGUUAGUCUAAUAGAAAGCAUCAAGUGCAACAAUACUAAAAACAAAGAAAUAAAAGGCAAUCAAAAUAUUAGAGCCAAAUGAUGGAAGACUUUACCUGAAAAGUCCAUGCAUUUGGUUUGCUAUUCUAGUGUCCACAGCCUUUUUUACCUGAAGGAUUCCAUUCUCGUCCCUCUCAAUCUUUACUUCUUGUGGAUAAUUCCUUGAAAGUCCCCCCAAUAGACCCUUUACUUUUAAAUUCUGGCCUUCCAAUGUGAUUGUCACAUUAAAUGGAACUUGAACUGGUUGCUUCCCUAUCCACGACUCCUUACAUUCUAUAAUCUCUCUCGAGAAACCAACACGAGUUACAGGAACACUAGGUGCACAAAUUCCGCUUCUUUCGUCCAAAAAUACAGAUCUCAAAUUGCUGAUACACCAGAAGAAGAGAAAACUUCAGAAUGCUUUUACAAAAUAUGAACUCAUUUUCCCUUCAGUUAUGUACGUAACAAACAGAUUUCUGAGAUACAAGACCGUAUCUUACGUACUAGCAAUUUAUACAAGCAUGCAAAUAGUUAAUAUCACCCAAUAGCUAUGAGCACUACGUUUCUUCUUUUGGCCAUUUAAGAUACAAAAAGGAAAUACCUAGUGGCUACAUCAUUAAUCCAAAUCAAUAAUAACACACUCUCUUAUUCUCAUACCUCCUCUUUUAAUACACAUUUAUAUUCCUAACAGCCUACGAAGCUGAAAAUCAGCCAACAAAUUUCUCAAUCAAGUUACAUUUGUACUAUUGAAUUAUAUGAUUCCAUUAUGUAGUUCAACAGCAGUAUUCCAUUGCCAUUGAAGACGAACAAGAGCACUCAUAUAAUAUGGGAAAGACCACCGAUCAACAAAAACCAACCAACAAACUUCAACAGAUAACCCCUAUUAUCCAACAAGUUUCAACACCCAAGAUAUCAUAAUCUUUUAGAAAGCACUUAACUUAUAUUACCAACAAUGCAGGUUAGAAUGCAAUUGCUGCUCUUCAUAAUCCAUAAACCACUACUUUUUAUGUCCAUAUUCGAUGCAUAACACAAGCCGACUCUUAAAUACUUUCGUACUGUGGUCAUUUCCCUUCAAAUCAUUAACAUGUUUGCAGAUAGCAUGCCUAGUUGACUCAAAAACUUGACACUUGACAAUGAGACACAAAGUUCAGUCAUUACAAAGCUUCCAAUUAAGCAAACCCAUGUAAUAAUUUCUAGUUUUAGCCCAACCAAAUCAUCUAUUUCAAGAAAUCUUAAAUUCUCCUUAAAGAAAACCAGCAUUUUGGUUACCAAGAACUACCCAUGACACAAAAACGUAAUGUGCAAAAAACCCUUUAAUAACGUAAGAUAGUUGAAAAUGAUAAUAGAGGGUUAGUUUCUUGACCUGGUCUGAAAAGAAAAGUGAUUGAAGAAGAAGCCAUUGUCAAGAGCUUUCCAGCAUCAGUGAGCAACUGUUUCGCUAGUUUUGAUAAGAGAGGGAGAAAAGGGCCUCUCCAAAACGACCGUUUAUCCAGCUAUUCUUCAGAAUGGCGAAAUUACCAUUUCUAUGGAGAUUGAAAUCUUUGCUAUCGUUCCUUUUCUUGUCUGGACAUUUCUACCCCGAUCCUAGUGCUCGGCUCUAACGGCUUACUAGGUAGCAUUUGAUUGUUAUCGUAAACAGAUAAAAAAAAAAGAUAAUAAAGAUAAAAAUAUAUUUAAUUAAAAUAAAAAAUUAUAUUUAUGAAUAAUUUUAUAGUGAGUUUUUAUAAUUUUAAAGUAGAAGGUAGAAAAAGAAAAUGUUGAGAUAUUAUUUUUUUAUUUUUAAAAUAUAUUUAUGAAAAACUCUCAAUUCUAAAAUUGUUCAAAAAUAUAUAACGAUUCAAAUAAUAAUUAUUAUAAUUUUUAAAACUAACUUGAAGGUUGAUCUAAGAUGAGAUCCAAGUCGUGAGCCGAAAAGAUUAACAUCAGAAUAAAAAUGGUUGUUAUUAUAAUUUUAAAAUUUCAAUCGAGGGUCGAUUUAGGGUAAAGGGGGUCAUAGGUUGGGUUGACCGUUGACCUUUGUUAACUCAGGUCAAUAAAAAGAUAAAAUUAGUUAUUAUCAUAGAUUUAAAAUCUGAAUCGGGAGUCGACCUGAGGCAAGACCUGAGUUAUAGAUCGGAAGGGACAACAUAAUAGUUAAAAUGAUUAUUAUUAUAGUUUUAAAACCCGACUAUGAGGUCGACCCGAGUCACGGGUCAAAAAGAUCAACCCGGGUUGACCCGAGUUAAUAUAAAAAUAAAAGUGGUAUAGUUUUAAAACCUGACUCUUGGGUCGACCCAAUGAUAGGUCGUGAGGGUCAACUCAAGUUAAUGUAAGGAUAAAAAUAAUUGUUAUCAUAAUUUUUAAACCCAAUUUAGAUAUCGACUCGAGAUGAACUACCAUAAAUCCCGUGAUAGAUUUAAUUAGUCAUUAAAUUAACUUCUAACUUAAUAUAUAUAUUAAGUUAGAAGUUAAUUUAAUGACUAAUUAAAUGAUCAUGAUUAUUCUUUCCUAUUAACAAUUAAAAACUCAGCCACCUCAAGAGAGUUUAAGUAAAUAUACAACCAUUUUUAAGAACUAACCUAAUAACUUUACUUCUAGGCUGACUAAGUUUCUAGCCAUAAAAAAACUAGUUACAUGAAAAUCCUAUUCAGAAAAAAAUUCGUUGAUGUUCUUAAUAUUCCAUACAGAUCGUAGCAUAAAUUUUUAAAUAGAUAUAAUUUUGCUUUCUGCAAUUCACUUCCAAUUAUUUUUUUUGAAAAACGUUUUUAUGAUCUUUUGUCUAACAAUUAUACGUUAUGCUAAAUUAAGAAUCAAAAGAAAUUUAUUUAGGAAAUUAAUGCACAUCAUAACAUAAAUAGUCGUCAUCAAUCACAAAAUUAAAUUUUAUGAAAUUAAAUUUAAGAUCAAAAUACAAAAAUCUUAAACCAACAGGUAUAAAAAUUACAAAAAUUGACACUGUAAAAAUCAAAUUAAAGUUUUUCCUGCCUUAUCAAGAGUAAAAAUGAAAAGUUUUUUUUUUUGUUAAAUAUUGUACUUGUUAUUUCAGUUUUUUUCAACUAUAACCUGAAUUUUAAUUUUACAAUUUCUAAUUUAAAAACAAGACAUUCUUAGACACUUUAAAUACACAAUAGCAUGUAAAGAAAAACAUAUCCAAUACAUAAAAGGGUGCAAAUAUAACUUGCAAUGAUAAAAAUAACAAAGAAACAAAAUGUUCGAUGACUAAAAUUAAAAAAAAGCAACAUUCCUUAAGUACCAUUAGAAAAUUGAAAAACACCAACGGAAUACUUCGUUGGUGAGUAAACACCAUUUCAUCGGCUAUUUACAUUGCCGAUGUAGUUACUGAAAGAAACACAUCAUUAGAAAUGUUUUUGUUAAAAAUUUGCUUUUUGUCGACAUUACAAAUUACUGACGAAAAUAUCGAUGAAAUAUUGGUGCCAAAGAAAUAAAAUGCACCAACUAUAUUCUAUCAGUCAUUUCAUUGAUAAAUAAAGAUACAAACAAACUAUAAAUUUUUUAAUAAAUUAACUUAAAACAUAAAUGAAUUACAAAAAAUGAAUGAAUUUGCUUAUUUUGUUUAUCGAAAACUUUACAAAAAAAUUCAACAGCUAAUAUUGUGGAUAUAUGUAAAUCAAUGCCAGCAUAUUGGGGUGGCUAACUUUGUGAGAAAGUAGAGCGGGGGCUGCUUGUAUCUUUUUAGUAGGGGUGAGCAAAAAAACCGAGAAACCGAGUAAACUGAGUAAACCGAGAAAAAAAACAACCAAAAAAACCGAACCGAAAAAAAAACCGAGUAAAUCGAUUAUUUUUUUUGUUAAAAUUUUCGGUUGGGUUUGGUUUCGGUUUACAAAACCGGAAACAGGCAAAACCCCAACCGAACCGAACCGGUUCGGUUUAAGGGGUACUAUAAAUACGAAAAAAAAAACACUUUCUCAUUUCUAAAACCUAAUUAACCCUAGAUUCUCUCCUCUCCAGCGACUCCUUGCAGCCGCUCCCUCAAUCCUCACAGCCGCACUUCACAAUCCACACUCUCACUCACUCUGUAACAAAAUCAAGUAAAUCCAUCUUCGAUUCUUCAUCCAUAUCUCUCUCUGGCUCUCCCAUACCAUCUUCAUCUUCAAAACAAACAACCUAGCCAGUCAGCCACAUCCCUCUCCCACACGGCCACAAGUCGCACGAUACACACACACCACUCCAGAGUCCAAAUCUAGCAAACCAGUCCCUCCCUCUUUCACAUCCAAACUUGAAUCGCGUCCCAACUCACACCAGGUAUGAUUUUUUUUUCUAUCAAUCUCUGCUUUUUUUAUUUGUUUUACAUAUGCUUUGUGAUUCUGUGUAUUUUUUGGUAUAUCGUUACAAAAAAAUCAAUGUUUGAGCAUUCUGUGUAUUUUUUUGUUGAUUUUUAUAACUAUGCCAUUUUUCCUAUUAUUUUUUCAAAUUGUGCUACCUUGUCAUUUUUUCUUGCUGUGUGAUGAAAAAAACAAACUCUGUGUUUGAAGGGAAAACAUGAUCAACCUGUGGGCUAGUUUGAGACCAUAAAGUCUGUUCUGUUGCUGCCUCAAGUUGCCUUUCACACCCGAAAUUAAAUCGUGUCCUAACUCGCACAGGUAUGAUUUCUUUUUUCUGUCAAUCUCUGUUUUUAUUUUUUUCCUUUUUAUUUAGUUUCUUGGUUCUUUUAGUUUGUUUUUAUAUUUUGUUUCCCUGUUCUUUGUCAAUCAUUUUAGGUUGUUUGUUGCUGCAGUGUGUUACUCUGUUUUAUGUGUAUUUAUUAUUUUUUUCUUCUUCAAAAUUAGGGUGUAUUAGUAUCUGGGAGUUGCAUAAUAUUUUUCUUUUGUUGCUGUUUCCUAAUUGUUUGUUGAUUUCUCAUCAUAUGUCUCUUCACAGUAUUGAAAUUGCUAUUGGAUUUUUCUGGUUGCCAUCUUUGUUAUUUUUUAAGGUAGAUGCUAUUUUCUUCAUGCUGUUGUUUACAGUUCAAGUUCUGGAAAAGCAUUGUGUGAUUUCCUCUUUCAUUUUGAUAUUGGUUGGAAGGAAAAGAUAUAGAUGUUGUGAAAUUGGUUAUGUUUGGCAGCAUGUUUCAUUAUGCACAGACAUUGUUAGGAUUGUCUUCAAAACUGGUUUCUAUGACUAAGAAUCUGUUGCUUUUAUAAUAUAGGAUGUAAAUUUGUUCUUAUUGCAUCUUGAAAUAGACUGUUAAUCAGAAUUUCAAGGACAAUUUGAUGGUUGGCAGAUGGCAGUGAACUUAGGAUUGGUUGGCAGUGAACUUAAGCUUGGCAGAUGUUUUGGCUGAUAUUACUUUCCAUUUUGUUUUUUUUUUGUUUGCCUGACAUUUAAGUUUUUAUUAGUUUGAUAAUUUCUUUGAAUUUUAGUACAUUUAAGUCUAUUAUAAAUUAUAAAAUUGGUUGCAUCAUGGAUCAAUUUCAACUGAUAUUAGAAGCUUGAUAAAUGAUCUUGAAACCUACGAAAACCUUGAGUCAGGUAAAUUUUUUUUAAUAAACUUGCACCUAUUAUUUUGUAAUUUAUUAAUUAAAUUUUUUGCAAUCAUCUAACAUGUCUACUUUUUUAUUUUGUAGAAUUUGGUGGAAAGUUACAUUUAGUAACGGAUGAUAAUUAGUUCAAAAGUUACUAUGAUGGUAAAAAACUACUUUUUAUUUUUACAUAUUCUAAUUUAUUUUAUCAUGUUAUAAUUUUAGAUCUUGAUUUUCAGGUUUUGAUGUCAAUGGUAUUACGGAAUCAAAGUGCAAUGUUCUUGUCAUCUUGAUGUGCUUUUUGAUUGGGAUGAUGUGCACAAUGAAGAUUUAUAUUUUUUGCAUGAAGUGUUUUAUUUUUUAUGGUAAUGUUAUUUGUUGUUUUUUUUAAGCUUUUUUGAAGGCAAUGCUUUGUAAUUUAAAUUUUAAUUUGGUGUGUGUGUUAUUUAAACUUUGAUGCAUGAGGAGUCCAAACUCCAAAACACAAAUAUUAGAAAGACUUGCAACAAUUAAACACAAUAUUAGCACUAAUAAUUUAAUAUAUAUAAAUAUUUAGUGACAAAAAAUAUUAAAUAUAUUAUAGAAUUUUGUAACAAAAUUAGAUAAUAUUUACAUUAAUUCCAAGCCUAUUAGAAAGCUCAUCAGAAAACCCAUUAGAAAGCCCAAAAAGGCCCAAAAAAUCAUAAUACAGGUUUUCCGGUUUUUCUGUUAAAAAAACCGAACCGAACCGAACCGAAACCGGUCGGUUCGAACCGGUUUCGGUUCGGUUUCAGUUUGCAUUUUUAAGUUUUUUAAAUUUUGAUUUUGGUUAGUUUUUUAGUUAAAAACCGAACCGAACCGGUUUUGCUCACCCCUGCUUUUUAGCAGGGGAAGGAAGAAGAAGGUGAAGAAGAAUAGGGGAGGAACUGUUGUUAAAUAAUAUUUAUCUAGUUUUAUUUAUUAAGGGUAGAAUAUUAUUUUCAGUUUAACCUAUAUAUAAUUUCUUUGUAUUUAGGUUAACUUAAGCAUUCAUAAUAUACAGAUUAUUCAGAAUUCUAGCCUCCUUUUUAUGUUUGAUCUGAAUUAUUUUAACAUGGUAUCAGAGCCUGGUUGGUCGAACCCUUAUCUUGCUAAUUUUAUGGAACUCACUGUCUAUGUAGAGAUCAUGUUCACCAAUGUCAGAGCCACUGCUGGUAUCAAAAUUGUUAUCAUCAUCCACUUUAUUCCCUGUAGGAUGUUCCAGCACACUCAAUGCAUUCCUUUGAAGCUUAACUUCAGAUCCAUUUUUCAAAACAUCAGACAUGGGUUGUUUGACCUAUUAAAAGAUGGAGGAUGAAGAUCAAGUUUUGUGCUUUCGGCUGAAGAAUUAAUAUCUGAACCUUUAUUUUGGAUUCUUCAGCUUCUGCAAUUUGAUAUUUCUGUUCUGUCUCUGUAAUUGUUUUAGUAUUUCAUCUUCUCUUCAGUUUCUGCAAUUUGGUAUUUGCGUUCAGUUUCUGUAAUGUUUUUUGGAGUGAUAUUUUGUCUUACGCUUCUGCAAAAUCUGGUAUUUCGACAUUCCUUCAGUUUCUGCAAUUUGGUAUUUCUGUUCUGUCUCUGCAAUUGUUUUGGUAUUUCUUCUUCUCUUCAGUUUCUGCAAUUUGGUAUUUGCGUUCAGUUUCUGUAAUGUUUUUUGGAGUGAUAUUUUGUCUUCCGCUUCUACAAAAUCUGGUAUUUCGACAUUCCUUCAGCUUCUGCAAUUUGGUAUUUCUGUUUUGUCUCUGUAAUUGUUUUGGUAUUUCGUCUUCUCUUCAGUUUCUGCAAUUUGGUAUUUGUGUUCAGUUUCUGCAAUGUUUUUUGGAGUGAUAUUUUGUCUUUCGCUUCUGCAAAAUCUGGUAUUUCGACUUUCUUUCAGCUUCUGCAAUUUCGUAUUUAUGUUCUGUCUCUGCAAUUGUUUUGCUUCUGCCAUGACAUCUACUACCAAAGAGAUUAUUUGGUUACGUUGGUUACUUGCUGAUAUGAGAGUUUUCUUUUCUCAUCCUACUCGUAUGUAUUGUGACAACUAGAGUUCUAUUCAGAUCGCUCAUAACUUGGUUUUUCAUGAGCGAACUAAGCACAUUGAGAUUGAUUGUCAUCUUACUCGUCAUCAUCUCAAGCAUGACAUCAUUACUUUGCCUUUGGUUCCUUCUUCCUUGCAGAUUGCAGAUUUCUUUACCAAUGCGUAUUUCAUCUCUCGUUUUUGUUUUCUAGUUGGCAAACUCUUGAUGCUUGUAGCUGUCGCAUCAUGAGUUUGAGGGGAGAUGUUAAAUAAUAAUUAUCUAGUCUUAUUUAUUAAGGGUAGAAUAUUAUUUUCAGUUUAACCUAUAUAUAAUUCCUUUGUAUUUAGGUUAACUUAAGCAUUCAUAAUAUACAGAUUAUUCAGAAUUCUAGCCUCCCUUUUAUGUUUGAUCUGAAUUACUUUAACAACUGUCACUUAUAACUUAUUUAUAUUUGUUGCUUAUAAUAUUUCGUCAACAAUUCUGUUAGUAAUCCUGAUAUAUAAAAUAAACAGAAUUGCCAAUGAAUUUUUUAUUUUUUAUCCCAUUAAAUAUUUUAUUAAUAAUUAUUAACAAAACAUAAUCCGAUGUUAUUUCUAUCAGAAAUUACUGGCAUAAAUUUUUCAUCGUAAUUUCUUUCAGAAAUUAACAAUUGUUUUCUCCAAUUAUUUUUGGUAAUGGAAUAACAAUGUUCAUAUGAUCAGCAGCUGUAGCAUUUUUCAUUGUUAGUGAUAAUUUUUAAAACAUCAAUUUUAUUUUAAUUUCUCACAUUGAUUAUAGAAUAAUUUAUGUAUCAAGAUAUAAUUUCAAAUGCUUUACAUCACUUGCAAAUUCUUUUACUCAAUGCCUUUUGACCUUUUAUUCUUCAGAAAACAUGCAUAUAUAUUUCUUUAAUCAAAUAUAAAAAUAAGAAAUCAUAUGAAACAUAUUUAAAAGAAUUCAACAUGUGAAUAUAAUAAAAAAGUUGGAUUAAAUAAAUAUACCAUAUCUAAUAAUUGAAGAUUGAUUAUUAGCAUGACAAAUAAAACUUCAAUUGAAUUUAGUAUUAGUAAUUUGAUAGCUUUAAUUGAUCGAACUAAUGAAAAAAUGUAUUUCUAUUUUAUUAAUUAUAUAUAGAAGUUGUUUGUUUUUUAGAUACUGGUACCAAAUUCAAACUUAAUAUUAUGUGUAUAUUUCAUCACAUAAUAAAAAAUCAAUUAGAUAAGUACAUUUUAUCACAUAAUAUGGAUUAAAAAUUAAUUCAUUGCAUCAAAUUAAGGACUAAAAUGAAAUUCUCAAUGCAUCUUUGCUUCUUUUCCACAAAUACCCCUAAAACUCUAUUACUAAAAGCAAUAAUUAAAACUUAGCCACAUUCCAACCUCAAAGGUCCCAUGGUCAUAAGACUCAUAACCUUAAUUGGGACUUGGGAGUUUGGAAAUACAACUUGUAAUCAUUGCAAAUAAAAGAGAAGGGGUAUAAUAGUAAUGAGUUACUGUUAGUAUAAUACAUUCCACAUUGUUGAUGCAUACAAAUGAGCAAAACCCUGAGACGACAAGAUAGAAUGAAAGAAAUACAGUUAUCACUUCUUCUUCCCUGCUUUCCCUUCCUUUAAUCUUAUAACUUCAUUGGCAUACCUCACACCCUUACCUUCAUAUGGUUCAGGGGGUCUCCAUCUCAAAGCAGCAAACUCACCAAUGGAGCACUUGUCAUUUCCACUGACAACAAUCCUGGUGUUCUCUUCCACCUUCACUUGUAGGUCACCAGGGGUUGUCAUCCUAACUGGAUGAGAGAACCCCAGACUUAACACCAAGUCUUUUCCUUCUAUGUUUGCACGAAUAACCGACACCAACUAGUUGAAGGUCUCUUCUCAAAAUCGUUAGAUACUCCCACCACCAUGUUGUUGGUAAGUGUCCUGUGUGUAUCAAUUUGCAUAAGGGUUCAAGUAAGGCAUAAAAAGAAGACCUUGGCGAACAUUUUCCAAGGCAGGUAUCGAUAUUUCUGUAUUUAGUUUCUCCUGUCCUUGAUGUCCAUAUCAGUAUAAAAAGUUUCUGAGAAAAUCCUUAACAGAUACUGCCAUGAAGAUAGGCACUUUGGGUAGAAUAUCAAACAGCUAGCGGUGUUUAUUUUCUCAUACAAAUCAUGCAGCUCUAAACACAAACAAGCAGUAUCAAUGGUCAUGAAACAGGGGCUGCUUGAUUUGCAUUCAGUUCUGAAAUUUCAUCUAGUUCCGCAUCUAAGGGUUGACACUAUUACAUUAUUGUCAAUUGGUACUUCUACAGCAGUUUCUAGGUUCAAGCAUCUUAAGUGAAAAUGCUCUUGUUUCAGAAAACAAAGUCAUGAACAUUUUGUUGGAUCCUAUAUCUAUUACUUUAUUUGGCAUGAUUCACAUUGUCAUAUCUAUAAAGGUGGAAUUGUCAACACAUAAUCCAUGUCCAUAAUCAGUGUUACACCUGAAAUGACUACUUCAAAGAUCGAAGUUUCCUUACAGAAAAGACGAGACAUGUCAAAAUCACAGCGAAUUAUUCCCAUCAAAGACUAGGCAAUAACCUCAACUAAAAGUAGAAUGAAAACCCUCAUUAAAAAAGAAGUUAAAAUGAAGAUAAUUGGUGAAAUACAUUAUAUAUCAAUAAAGUCAGCAAUUCAUAUCCAAAUUCUUUAACUGUGCACAGUCACGUUAGCAUGUAUGAUUUUGGUCAAAUCCUAAUACAGCAAGUAUAAUCUUCCACAGACAGGAUGCUUCAGGAACACCAGAACCAGGUCAACAGUGUCAAGUGAGGUUUAGGUUUCAACAGUUCCAUCAUUAUUGAAACAACAUAGUUGGCUUGUAAACUACAAUUUAGAAGUAAUCAUCAUGGCAGCAAAUUCUUUACAAAUAAAUUUUCUUCUAAAAUUAUUUAUUCUUCUUCUCUCCCAAAAUUUGCAUGCAUGAUACAGAGUAGGUAACCUCUCUUAGUCCCUAAAUUUGUCAAUGUCGCAUGCCAGAACUAGUUCAAAACCAGAUUGAAGCAGUUUACGCAUUCCUAAUACAACCUCUGAAGGUCCAAGAAUAAAGCGUUUGAAAAUGAAAUAACUAGUUAGUCUAAUAGAAAGCAUCAAGUGCAACAAUACUAAAAACAAAGAAAUAAUAGGCAAUCAAAAUAUUAGAG
rnacentral:lncRNA from 1 species